rnacentral:lncRNA from 1 species
AAUGGCUUCAGGUCUAGUCAAAGAGAUAUAAACAUAAGUGCUGCAUGAGAUCUCCAGGAAGGUCUCUUAAGAGAGAAGGGAUGGACUUUAAGUUUCUCCUUUCCUUCUGUGCAGCACAUUGGAUGUGAUUGUUAGAACUCUACCAGCCAUCUUGAACCAUAGCAUGAUCUUGAAAAUGGAAGCCCACAUACUAAAGAUGGUGGUGAGGAAGAUUAGAACCUGGCUGUCUGAAGAUACUGUAAAGUUGGCCUGGCAUGCCAGUCAUGAAAAGUGCAUUAGUUGGGAGAAGUUUGGAAUGAAUGGCCUUGGCAUGAAGCCCAUGAGGGAUAUGAAGAUGCGACAGCUAUAGGCUGGCAGUCAAUUAUCUCAUCUCCUCCCCUGGCAGCAAGUUCUUUUGAAGGAAAAUCUGGAAGGCACAUCUCCCUGACUAAGCCUAAAUUCCCUUUCGUCUGAUGGU